rnacentral:rRNA from 1 species
UACGAAGGGGGCUAGCGUUGCUCGGAAUCACUGGGCGUAAAGGGUGCGUAGGCGGGUCUUUUAAGUCAGGGGUGAAAUCCUGGAGCUCAACUCCAGAACUGCCUUUGAUACUGAGGAUCUUGAGUUCGGGAGAGGUGAGUGGAACUGCGAGUGUAGAGGUGAAAUUCGUAGAUAUUCGCAAGAACACCAGUGGCGAAGGCGGCUCACUGGCCCGGUACUGACGCUGAGGUGCGAAAGCGUGGGGAGCAAACA